GGAUGGGUAGACCGCUAAGGAGGCGGGACAGCCUGUAAAGCUGUCGUCAUACGGCCCGCUCGGAUCGUUACCGGGACCAUCCACCA
rnacentral:tRNA from 1 species